rnacentral:rRNA from 1 species
ACACAUGCAAGUCGAACGGGGAUAUUGAUUUCGGUUGAUAUCCCAGUGGCGAACGGGUGAGUAACGCGUGAGCAACCUGACCUUUUGAGGGGGAUAACACCUGGAAACAAGUGCUAAUACCGCAUAAGACCACGGAGCGGCAUCGUUCAGGGGUCAAAGGAGGAAUCCGCAGAAGGAGGGGCUCGCGUCCCAUUAGAUAGUAGGCGGGGUAACGGCCCACCUAGUCGACGAUGGGUAGCCGAGCUGAGAGGCUGAUCGGCCACACUGGAACUGAGACACGGUCCAGACUCCUACGGGAGGCAGCAGUGGGGAAUAUUGGGCAAUGGGCGCAAGCCUGACCCAGCAACGCCGCGUGAGGGAAGAAGGCUUUCGGGUUGUAAACCUCUGUCCUUGGUGACGAAGGAAGUGACGGUAGCCAAGGAGGAAGCCCCGGCUAACUACGUGCCAGCAGCCGCGGUAAUACGUAGGGGGCGAGCGUUGUCCGGAAUUACUGGGCGUAAAGGGUGCGUAGGCGGUAGCUUAAGUUGGAUGUGAAAUACCCGGGCUUAACUUGGGGGGUGCAUCCAAUACUGGGCAACUAGAGUGCAGGAGAGGGAAGCGGAAUUCCUAGUGUAGCGGUGAAAUGCAUAGAUAUUAGGAGGAACACCAGUGGCGAAGGCGGCUUUCUGGACUGUAACUGACGCUGAGGCACGAAAGCGUGGGGAGCAAACAGGAUUAGAUACCCUGGUAGUCCACGCUGUAAACGAUGAAUACUAGGUGUAGGGGG